rnacentral:rRNA from 1 species
GAUGAACGCUAGCGGCAGGCUUAACACAUGCAAGUCGAGGGGUAUUGGUUUUCGGACCAAGAGACCGGCGCACGGGUGCGUAACGCGUAUGCAAUCUACCUUUUGCAGAGGGAUAGCCCCAGAGAAAUUUGGAUUAAUACCUCAUAGUAUAGUACUUUGGCAUCAAGGAACUAUUAAAGUCACAACGGCAAAAGAUGAGCAUGCGUCCCAUUAGCUAGUUGGUAAGGUAACGGCUUACCAAGGCUACGAUGGGUAGGGGUCCUGAGAGGGAGAUCCCCCACACUGGUACUGAGACACGGACCAGACUCCUACGGGAGGCAGCAGUGAGGAAUAUUGGACAAUGGGCGCAAGCCUGAUCCAGCCAUGUCGCGUGCAGGAUGACGGUCCUAUGGAUUGUAAACUGCUUUUAUACAGGAAGAAACACUCCGACGUGUCGGAGCUUGACGGUACUGUAAGAAUAAGGAUCGGCUAACUCCGUGCCAGCAGCCGACGG